CCCUAUGGGGUGCAGCAGGCGAGAAAACUUUGCAAUGCGCGAAAGCUCGACAAGGUUAAUCUGAGUGGUUCCUGCUAAAGGAACCUUUUGUUAGUCGUAGAACCACUGAUGAAUAAGGGGUGGGCAAGUUCUGGUGUCAGCCGCCGCGGUAAAACCAGCACCUCAAGUGGUCAGGAUGAUUAUUGGGCCUAAAGCAUCCGUAGCCUGUUCUGUAAGUUUUCGGAUAAAUCCAUAAGCUCAACUUAUGGGCUGCCGAAAAUACUGCAGGACUAGGGAGUGGGAGAGGUAGACGGUACUCGGUAGGAAGGGGUAAAAUCCUUUGAUCUAUUGAUGACCACCUGUGGCGAAGGCGGUCUACCAGAACACGUUCGACGGUGAGGGAUGAAAGCUGGGGGAGCAAACCGGAUUAGAUACCCGGGUAGUCCCAGCUGUAAACGAUGCAAAACUCGAUGAUGCGUUGGCUUGUUGCUAGCGCAGUGUCGCACGGAAGCCGUUAAGUUUUGCCGCCUGGGAAGUACUUACGCAAGUAUGAAACUUAAAUGAAUUGCCGGGGGGAGCCACCACAAGGGAGUGAAGCCUGCGGUAUCUAUUGUAGUCAACGCCCUGAAACCUUACCCCGAGAGACAGCAGAAUGAAAGUCCAUGCUGAUAUACUUUACCAGACAAGCUGAGAAGUGGUGGCUUUGGCCAAGGCCGAAUUCCGUUAAA
rnacentral:rRNA from 1 species